UAUUUGUUUUUAUUUUGUUUGGAUUUGAUAUCAGUGUAAACCCGGCCAAAAAUAUUUCCAUUUUUGUUUAAAAUGUAGUCGUGUAAAUGUGGGCUAAAUUAAAAAUACAUUUAAGGAAAUGUAGGAAGCUCUAUGUCCAUGGAUAAUGAACUAAAGGCUCCAUUUCUAGGCUGCUGAAGUUGAGGCUGAAGGCUCUGGACUUAUGAGUAAUUGGUAUAUCUUAAUGUGUGUUUCUCUUAUGCAUCAAGAUAUGAGAUUACUGAUACUAUACAGUCACUGGUUGAUGGAUCUCAAGAUGGUACUAUACUACCAACAGAUAUCAGUAAAGACUUAAUGAAUAGAUGUCUUUAUACUGGUACAUGUACACCACCUGAUCCUGUCAUUAGAACAUCAGGAGAAGUGAGAUUAAGUGACUUCCUUAUAUGGCAGAGCUCUUAUUCUUGUCUUUGUUUUCAAGAUGUGUUGUAGCUGGAGAUUUCCAUUUGGAAUUUAUUCUCUUCGAUAUAAACAUACCAACAGAAUUACAAUAAUAUAAAGGUAGCAAGAGAGUACAUGCACAUUGAGAGGAAUGACAAGCAGUAUAAAUCAGACAGAGACUGUGCAUUAGUACAAUAUUAUGAAGAAAGAAAAGGAGGAGGAGGAGAAGGUGAACUAUCAGAUGCAGUAUUAGAAGAACUCGUAGUCAUUAUGCUGCUGAGAGAAAGAAAAGAACUCAACUAUUUGUACAAUCAUUGAUCAAGAAGAAAAUAUCUUUCUGGAAACAGUAACUGAAUAAUAGUUGUCAUUAUGAUUAUAUUGUAAAUGAUUAUCAGCUUUAUAAUGUGAGAGUCAACAUGGUCAAGUUA
rnacentral:lncRNA from 1 species